CGGGCAAGUGCGUCAUCAAAGUAGAAUGUGAAUGUGGGCUGCCUGUUAUCGGAGCACACUCUGCUCCCAUCCCCCAUCUCCACUGAGCAAUAGCGGCUGCCUUUUUGCGUGCCGCUUUGUCCUUCUCAGUUCAGCUUGUAAAAGCCAUGUGUACAAAAGUCGGUAAGGAAAAUACGUGUUUGCCCUUGUGUUUCAUAAGAAUGCGCGUCAGUUCAUGAGCACAUUAUAAUUAUUUUCCGCACUUGUCUCAUCGCAUGUCUUUUAUGUCGCACUGCUUUUUUCCCUCCUCCACGGCGGGGCAUUUCUCUGUGGGUUCUAACAAUGGAGGCGGAGGAAAUGAGGCCACCAGCACUGUUCACUGCACCCGCUCACUGAGCCCGAACAGCCCGACUCACGGCGUCAGAGCCGGCUGUGUGUGUGUUGUUCGACGGGUACAGUGUUUAUUUGUGUCUCGACCUUGGCGCACGAAUUUAUGGGCUGUUAUGUAAAAAAAAAAAAAAAGCCCUCAAGAGUGUCAAGUGCGCACAUACAGGGAUGAGUUUCAAACAUGGACGUCGGGAAGGGGCGGGGCGACGAAGAGCUGCGAUGUGACAUGGCGGCGCCGCUCCACAUUUACACUGUUAGCGCCUUUUAUCUGACUGAUGUUGUUCACAUGGAGCCUGAGAUGUGACACUAACGUUUGCGUAGAAAAGCCCGAUUUAAUCCGUGAUAACAUCCGUGUCGUCCACGUUUCCCUCCCAAACACUUCGCCUCUAUUCCCCCGUCGCGGCGGUGGGCGGGAGAAACCGUCUGAAGUCGCCGCUUGACUCGUCCAGACGCACAUCAAUCAAUCAAACUGACACUACGUCAACCGAAGCGCUCUCGAUUCGACAUAUUUACUGCGUAACUCGAUGGAAACUCGAUUUUCUCGCGCUCACGGUGCUGUGGAGCUGCCACGGUUCCGGCUCCGGUCCGUUUUGUGGGCUUUUAUCGACUCGGAUUAUUGUUUUAGGGGAGAAAGGGACGGUUGCAGCGGUAGAAUAGGAGGGGGCGUGGCCUUUAGGUUAAGAAAUUCUAUCCAUUGUUACUCGACGCGCUAGGAGAACGCCUCUGUCGAGCCCCUGGCCAAUCAGAGACCACCGACCUCAUGAAGACCCCGCCCACAAGCCUAUAUUAAAGGCUCGGCCGUCAGAAGCGUUGGCCACUGGCACAAUAUAAUACUGAUUGAUCCGCUAACUGAGACGAGGGGAUUUACUUUAUUCAACCUUUCAUUUCAGCCGUCCUUUAUUUUAUUCUACUAAACAAUGGCAGACACACAGGUCGACUCCGGCUCGGAUAUCUCUGCCAAGGACCUGAAAGAGAAGAAGCUGGUGGAGGAGAAGGAGAACGGCAAAGACGCCGCCACCAACGGAAAGGAGAAUGAGGAGAACGGUGGAGGGGCUGGAGGACUGAUUUAAAGGAAAAAAUAAUAAUAAUAAAAAAAUCCAACAUGGUCAUUAGCAAGUAGAGUUCAACAAACACCCGCCACGUCCACACUCACCCGAGCUCCCCUCAACGCUGCGAGACGAAUUUUCUAGAGGAACCCGCCACCGCAUCGACAACGCAGAAAUCCGGCUUCUCUUCAGCAACAACACAAAAGGAGAAUUUGUUUGUAUUUUUAUUUACAUUUUAUAUUUUUGUACAUAUUGUUAGGAGAGGGGAGGGGGGGCAGUUUCUCUCUCGAUCUCGUCAGACCAAAUCGGUGCUUCUCUAACGAAAGAUUUUACUUGGUUGACCAUGUUACGAUAUCUCAACAGAUCCUAGAAAAACGUGUAAAAAAGUUAAAAAAAAAAUAAAAUAAAAACAUGAAAGACAACCUCUUAAGCCGUUGAACUCAGAGCAUUCCAGUAAAUUUAAUGUAUGUACUUUAGCUGUACCAUAACUAGUUUGUUUGUAUGGGAGGGUAAGGCCAAAGAAAAGAGCCUCUUUUCUUUUUCCUUUCUUUUGUUUUUUUCUUUUGGUUUUGUUUUUGUCAGCGACUUUUUGUUUUAUGACGGCCUGUUUUGAUGUAUGUGCAAAGUUUGUUGUUUGACAAUAAACCGGACUUUUAUUUUGUGAGUUGUACUUUGUAUCUCUGCCCCUUUUUAUUUGUGCUUUGCUCUCCCGCGAGGAAGAGGAAGCGGUGCAGGUAAACCUGAGGUCUGCUUUUACUUUAGGGUCACAACAGCAGGGAGGAGGGUCCAGCACAUUUUAUUGGACAUUUUACACUCAUUACAUCCA
ensembl:lncRNA